rnacentral:rRNA from 1 species
AACAUGCAAGUCGAACGGCAGCAUGGAGAGCUUGCUCUCUGAUGGCGAGCCCCCUUAAGGGUGAGUAAUAUAUCGGAACGUACCUAGUAAUGCCCGAAUAACUAGCUGAAAGGUUAGCUAAUGCCGCAUACGACCUAUGGGUGAAAGCAGGGGAUCUUCGGACCUUGCGUUAUUAGAGCGGCCGAUAUCUGAUUAGCUUGUUGGUGGGGUAAUGGCCUACCAAGGCGACGAUCAGUAGCUGGUCUGAGAGGACGAUCAGCCACACUGGAACUGAGACACGGUCCAGACUCCUACGGGAGGCAGCAGUGGGGAAUUUUGGACAAUGGGGGAAACCCCGAUCCAGCCAUUCCGCGUGAGUGAAGAAGGCCUUCGGGUUGUAAAGCUCUUUCGCAAGAGAAGAAAACUUGCUAUCUAAUACAUAGUAAGCAUGACGGUAUCUUGACAAGAAGCACCGGCUAACUACGUGCCAGCAGCCGCGGUAAUACGUAGGGUGCAAGCGUUAAUCGGAA